rnacentral:rRNA from 1 species
AACGAACGCUGCGGCAUGCCCAACACAUUGAAGUUGAACGAAGGCCUUCGCCCUAGUUGCGCACGGGUUCGUAAAGCGUGGGAAUUCUGCCUUUGCCUCCGAAUUACCGUUAGGAAUUACCUCCUAUACCGGAAGAUGUUCCAAGACCAAAGAUUUAUCGGCAAAGGAUGAGCCCGCGUAGGAUUAGCUAGUUGGUGGGGUAAAGGCCUACCAAGGCGACGAUCCUUAGCUGGUCUGAGAGGAUGAUCAGCCACACUGGGACUGAGACACGGCCCAGACUCCUACGGGAGGCAGCAGUGGGGAAUAUUGGACAAUGGGCGAAAGCCUGAUCCAGCAAUGCCGCGUGAGUGAUGAAGGCCUUAGGGUUGUAAAGCUCUUUUACCCGGGAUGAUAAUGACAGUACCGGGAGAAUAAGCUCCGGCUAACUCCGUG